ensembl:lncRNA
GGGGGGGCUCGGGCCGGGGCGGGGGGCCGGGGCGGGGCUCGGGCCGGGCGGGGCGGACGGGGCGGGGGCGGGGCGGGGCUCGGGCCGGGGCGGGGAGAGCCGGGGCGGGGCUCGGGCCGGGGCGGGGAGACGAGGCGAGACGACUGGCGCGGUAGGGCCGGGCGCUGUGCGGACGCUGGUCCCCGCCCGGCUGCAGCGUUUUCCUCGGGCUGCCGUAACAAAUACCACGCCCUGGGCUUAAAGCAGCAGGAUCUUAUUCUCUCAGAACUCUGGAGCCAGGGUCUGGGUGGGGCGACGGCCCCUCAGUAUCUCUGGGGAGGCUCCUGCUGCUUCCUCCCGCUGCCGGUGGUGGCCAGCGUGCCCAGCUGCUCCUCGGCCUGCAGACGCACCGCUCCAGUCUCCGCCUUCCUCCCUGUGUAUCUGCGUGGGCGCUUCCCUCUUCCUGGCACCAUCGAUGCCUGGACUUGGAGUACUCGAAAUGGAAUUCAGGUUUUACAGGAGGAACCCGUGGGAAGAACUAUCAGAUUUCUGAUAGUUUAUUUCAUGAAAUGAAUCUCAAGAAGGCCCACUUUUAUGUGAGGUGCUUCGUAAAGGGCUACAGUUAAAAUGGCUCAAAGCAGCAGCACAGCAAACACUGUUGUCUGUGGUGUCUAAUUCUUGAAGAGGUGUGGGUGCCUGCCAGCCAGCAAUGCCCAGCACGAUGGUCAAGAUGAAUCUUGUUCUUUGCCUGCCCAGUGGUCAUCCAGGCUCCAGCACGUCUGCUCCACUGUGAUAGAGGCGGAAGGAGCAGGUCGGAACAAACCCCAUGGCCCCAGCAGAUGGCCCGGCAUGAGCAGCUACUUUUUCGACCAGGAGCCAAGAAUAUUCAGGUUGCUAAUUU